GCCUUUCUUCUUCCCUUCUUGGUGUUGUUUUCCUUCACCUUCACUUGAACUUUGCGGUUUAAACUUUGCCGCAAGAGCUCCUUCAAUAGUUACCUCAGAUCUUGACGUUAACCUUUGCUCAUAGGCUAACAAAGCACCUGUAAGUUCAGUUAAAGAAAGACUUGACAGAUCCUUUGUAUGCUCUAUAGCCGUGGUAACAGCAUCAAACUUUUCGGGUAAGGUAAUCAACAUUUUUUGCACCACUCUUUUGUCUGGUACGUCCUCUCCAUUCAAUUUAAGCUAAUUCACCACAUUAGCCACUCUAGAAGAGUAGUCCUUUACGGAUUCAGCAUCCUUCAUCCUUAGAUUUUCAAACUCUCUGCUCAAAGUUUG
rnacentral:lncRNA from 1 species